CGGGCCUCAAAAUGGCCACACGCGUCCCCCCGUAGCGGCAAAACGUGAGCAUUGUGGCCGUUUUUCGGGGGGAAGGCAACCUGCCACGGCCCUCGGAAGUCCCCAUCGGUGUCCUCCCUCUGUCGCCCGCUCGCCGAAGAGCUGUCGCUGCUCUUCCCUCGAUUUCUUUCGAUGGGGGGCCUUUUCCACGGACGCCCCUGCGCUCGCCGCCGCCGCCGCCGCCCCUCCCGCCUCGGAGACUCUCUUCCUUCCUUCCCCUUCUCCUUACGCAAUAUACAGAAAUGCGCGAGGCGGUGGUUGGUUUUCAUUUCUUCUUGGUGGUUGUGUGCAUGCGGUGGGAUGGGGAGAGUGCGUGUGUGCGCUGUGGGCAGGGUCGACUUCUUCCGAGUGUGGUCUUCUCGGUGAUAGGUUGUGUGUCCAAGUAUGCUCGUGUCUGCGCUGGUUGGCCAGGCUGCUCAGGACUCCGCGCUGUGGCUGCAGCUCCAGCCCGACUCGGAUUCCGGGCCAAAGGCAUAGACAAACCGCCCAGGACCACACCGCGGCCUAACUGUCGGUCUCUCGGUGAGAGAGGGGGGGAAGGCAGAGACCCCUGUGCACUCCCGGACCUCGGCUCCCGCCCCUCUCCCGUGGAAGGAGUGGAGAUCCUAUUCAGAGGGGCCGGUCUCUCUAAAUAUGCCCCAGGUGAGUUUCUGGCGAACGGCAGCGGUGGUGGUGGCGGUGGCGGUGAAAACAGUGACCAGGAAGGCCUUGGGGUCUGGCCUGGGGUGGAGAAAGCUCAGGAUGGAGGACAGGCCGGUUUCAGAUUGGGGAGGGGGAGGGGGGACAAACCCAGAGCCAGGAAUCCAGAAUCGGACUCUGCCGCUCGCUGACUGUGGCCUCUGUGCUGCUGUGGCUUCCAGCCGACCUCUUUCUUUUUUUGAUCCUAUGUGAAAAACAGCUAGUUGGCCUUAGUCCCUCAGGCUGCUCCUGUCUGUCCCGGUUCUGUGCACGUUUUACCAGGCUCAUAACUUCGGGACGGCUAUAUCCGGGUAGUGCAGGCUGAGUGCCCGGGCUCUGGCAGGAAGAAGGCCGCAGCCGUCCUGGCUAGCGCACUUCCAACUCGGGUGGGCCCUGACUGGGGCCUAAGGCCUAGAGCAGGGCCGCGCUGGAACCACCGCUCCACUCCAGGAGCAGCUGGAGAAUGGUUCUGUUCACUGGUGAUUUGGGCUCGCCUGGAGGUCAUGCGGGUGUGGAGGCCAUCCGAGGCAUGGAGGCCAGGCUGGGGCAUGGGGAGACGGGGUGGCCUGUUUCCACAUAAAAGAUUUUUCCAGCUGGGAAAUCAGGUGCCUUCCCCCGCCCCACCGCCCAGGAGCCCAGGGGUUCCCCCAGUUUUGUUCGGGCACCCAUGGAAAUGAUCUGGCAACAGGAGAGGAGGAGCGGGUCUAGGGGGCUUCAAGGUGGUUCUUGGCCACACAAAGAGUUGAAUAGUGAGUCUAGCGCUGUUCAGUUCGGAAUCUUCUCCUCGCCCUACAAAUAAACAAAAACCACUCGGGCUUUCCUCGCA
rnacentral:lncRNA from 1 species